rnacentral:lncRNA from 1 species
AGAGAAGCUUAUCUGCUUUUUGGAGAUAAAUAUUCAAAUUACUGGUGUAUGAGAGGGAUAGAAUUAUUCUAUCAUAUUGUUUAUUCAACAUCUAAAAAGAUUCCAUGUUUAGUCAUCUAUAUUGGCAUUGUAGAGAGAGAGACCAGUGUUCAACUGGUUGAAAGGAUGAGAGAGAGAGGAGAGUUUGGAUGAUAGAGAGAUUAGUGUUCACCUGGUUGGAAGGAUGAGAGGGAGAUGAGAGAGUUCGGAUGAGAAGGUGGAGAGUUCGGAGGAGAGAGAGAGGUGAGAGUUCAGAUGAGAGGUGUGAGAGAGGUGAGAGUUCGGAUGAGAGAGAGAAAGUAGCUUAGAAGGAUGAGAGAGAAAGCGGUAUUCAACUGGAUGGUGGAGAAUUCAUAUAUUACUAAUAAUGCAUCCAAACAACAUUUGAAAUUUAAUUCUAAGAAAAACUUUCUUGGUACAUCCAAAUAAGAAAAUUCAAUUGAAUCAAAUUCUACAGAAUCCAUUUCCAAUGGAAUCUAAUUGCUAGAAUAUGAUUCAUGGAAUGAGUUUCAAUUCUAGGGAUCCAAACGGGCCCUAAGGGAAGAGUUACAACUGAUCCGUAUGCUUAUGAUUCACAACUUGGUGUGCUAACAGCCAUCAACAAUUAUGCAUGGAGAUAGUUUUAAAUGAAUUUGAGAUGCAUGAUAUCAAUGUAAAGAAAGAUACCAAUGAACAUUUGAGCAUUAUUUGAAGGAUAAUGGUUGCAUAUCUCCGGGGAUCCAUUUCUUGCAAUAUGAGACUACACAGGAUAAGCUUGCAAACCAAGUUAGUCUAAAAAUCACAAACCAUAAGAUAGCUCCCUCUAAAUAUAAUGCAUCCAAGUAUUUGAAUUACUUGGGAGAGACAUG